AAGGAAGGCUUCUUGAUGAGUGCCGUUGAUCGUGUACAGGGACUAGCAUGUCUGGUGAGGUUUUUCACUAGACGCCAAUGAGUGCAAAGGGGUUGCUCCGGCUCGUCGUCAGCGUCAGAGUCAGAUCUGGGAAGAAAUCCAGCUCUACUGCCUUUUUUCUCAAUGACCUUGGACAAAAUUUCUUUCCUCUGGGGUAAUUUUUCAUCGCUCUCUGUUGUAAUCGCCUGCUUCCAAGGAGUAUACGAAAGACGUCCCCUUUAAAGAAUCUUCUUCGCGGCAUGUCUGGUUAGGAAUGCAGUGCUCAUGAAGGAGAGGUGGGAAGUCGAGAGGCUGGCAACGCCGGUGGAGAAAAAUGGAGACAAGGGUGAGGAAGAGCGCUCAUGAAAGACGAGGCGACGGUCCCCUGGGACACCAUAAUGCCCACACUCUGCCCAUCAGACCUGGUAGCCAGCACCGAAGAUAAAAGAACAAGGCUGAUAACAAUAGUUGUAGGAAUGGCUGUGUCUGACAUUCAGACUGAAAGUGAAAUUUGGGAACUUGUUCCAAACUGCUCUGAAGAGUAAACUUAUUUUGGUCACAACUAAUAGUUGAUAGCGGACACAGGCAGAUAUGACCUUAAAACAUUCCCUGUUUUCUUGCCCACAGCUCAAAAUUGGAAAAACCAAACAAGCCGCGAUCCUCGCAGCUGCCAAAGGUUGUGAAAGCCUUGCUUUCGUAAAGAGUUUUUAGGGCGAAAAUCUUUUCUGGAUGAUGUAAUUGUUAACUUUUCCUGGGUCAAAGUCAGGAGGAAGGUCAGCUGGGAAGUCUUGGGUAAAGACCCAGUGUUAUUAGAUCAAAUCAAAGUUAUCUUCUUUUACUCACUCAUUGGCUCUGCAGACAUUCAUUGAGUCCUUUUUUGGUCCCAGGCACAGCCUUGGGUCCUCAAGCUGGAGAUAUGAAUGAGGCAGGACAUCUGCCUUCAGAGAACUCACUGUCUAGCAAAGAACACUCACCCUGAGACAGACGCUGCCAUGCGAUGUGGCCAGUGCUGUGGGAGAGGGGGCACAGGGGACAGGCACCUACCCUGGGCAUGUCGCAGAAGGUCUCCUAGAUAUCUGAGCUGAGUCCUUGGAAAACGAGUGUGUGCUUGUUUCCUAUUAGGGCUGGAAUUAAUUACAUAAAUGUAGUGGCUUCAGAACAACAGAACCAUAUUCUCUUAUAUUUCUGGAGGCCAGAAGCCUGAGGUGAGUCUUAUGGGACUAAAAUCAAGGUAAUUGGGGGGCUGGUUCCAUGAUAGGAAAAGAUAGGAUUCAGGAGGCAGAGAGGGAAAGGGGAAAGGUUAGGACCUGAGGUCCCUGUGUUGAGGGAGCCUAGGGACAAGCUGAAGGCAAAGUACAGGCUAACCUCAGUAAUAAAUGGCAUUUUCCUAACACAGCUAGCCCCUCAAGGUCCUGGAAACCUUGCUUCCAAAAUUCCUUAGAGACUUGAGCUGGCCCUGAGCCCCUCCCAAUCUGAGGGUAUAUAAUCAGUUACCCGUCACAACCCCAGUGCAACUCUAUCUGUCCACAGGCCCUGUCUCUGUGCUUUAAUAAAAUCACCUAUUUGCGCCAA